AUGGUAGAAUGGCAUCGAUGCAGAUGGACCGACAGGGACCGCAAUGAAAAAAUGGACAACAAGGAGAGAUGGUUGCCCGCUAGGACUUCUCGCCAGCGAGGCGCUAGACUGCCCGCACAGAAUGGAGGGGCAGAAGCUUGUGGAUGGUGCAUAUGGCAGACCGGCGGCUUUUGCUUGGGGGCGCGAUGGUGGUCAGUCGGUGACCUGAGAGCACCGGCGCCCUUUAAUUGCGACGGCGACACUUCUCAAGAUCGUGCGAGGGCCAUCCAUGGCGCAUGCUGGUGGUGCAGGGCGCGUCGACGGUGGAGAUGGCCCCGGAGGCGUCCAAUCCAGAUGACCGGCAGCGGCGGCGGCCUGUGA
rnacentral:rRNA from 1 species